UGAGGAAUAUUGCACAAUGGGGGCAACCCUGAUGCAGCAACGCCGCGUGGAGGAUGAAGGCUUCGGUUGUAAACUCCUUUUCUGAGGGAAGAGGAAGGACGGUACCUCAGGAAUAAGUCACGGCUAACUACGUGCCAGCAGCCGCGGUAACACGUAGGUGGCGAGCGUUAUCCGGAUUUAUUGGGCGUAAAGCGCGCGCAGGCGGUUAAUCAAGUCCGACGUGAAAUCUCCCAGCUUAACUGGGAGCGGUCGUUAGAAACUGAUUAACUUGAGGUAAUGAGAGGGGUGCAGAAUUCAUGGUGUAGUGGUGGAAUGCGUAGAUAUCAUGAGGAAUACCAGUGGCGAAAGCGGCACCCUGGCAUUGACCUGACGCUCAUGUGCGAAAGCGUGGGGAGCGAACGGGAUUAGAUACCCCCGUAGUCC
rnacentral:rRNA from 1 species